UACGUAGGGGGCGAGCGUUAUCCGGAAUUAUUGGGCGUAAAGAGUACGUAGGUGGUCAAGUAAGCGAUGGGUGAAAGCCUGCGGCUUAACUGCAGCGAGCCCAUCGAACUGCAUGACUUGAGUGCAGGAGGGGAAAGUGGAAUUCCUGGUGUAGCGGUGGAAUGCGUAGAUAUCAGGAGGAACACCGGUGGCGAAGGCGACUUUCUGGACUGUAACUGACACUGAGGUACGAAAGCGUGGGGAGCAAACA
rnacentral:rRNA from 1 species